ACGAUGAACCACCUUCGGGUGGGGAUUAGUGGCGAACGGGUGAGUAACACGUGGGCAAUCUGCCCUUCACUCUGGGACAAGCCCUGGAAACGGGGUCUAAUACCGGAUACUGACCUGCCAAGGCAUCUUGGCGGGUCGAAAGCUCCGGCGGUGAAGGAUGAGCCCGCGGCCUAUCAGCUUGUUGGUGAGGUAAUGGCUCACCAAGGCGACGACGGGUAGCCGGCCUGAGAGGGCGACCGGCCACACUGGGACUGAGACACGGCCCAGACUCCUACGGGAGGCAGCAGUGGGGAAUAUUGCACAAUGGGCGAAAGCCUGAUGCAGCGACGCCGCGUGAGGGAUGACGGCCUUCGGGUUGUAAACCUCUUUCAGCAGGGAAGAAGCGAAAGUGACGGUACCUGCAGAAGAAGCGCCGGCUAACUACGUGCCAGCAGCCGCGGUAAUACGUAGGGCGCAAGCGUUGUCCGGAAUUAUUGGGCGUAAAGAGCUCGUAGGCGGCUUGUCACGUCGGUUGUGAAAGCCCGGGGCUUAACCCCGGGUCUGCAGUCGAUACGGGCAGGCUAGAGUUCGGUAGGGGAGAUCGGAAUUCCUGGUGUAGCGGUGAAAUGCGCAGAUAUCAGGAGGAACACCGGUGGCGAAGGCGGAUCUCUGGGCCGAUACUGACGCUGAGGAGCGAAAGCGUGGGGAGCGAACAGGAUUAGAUACCCUGGUAGUCCACGCCGUAAACGGUGGGCACUAGGUGUGGGCAACAUUCCACGUUGUCCGUGCCGCAGCUAACGCAUUAAGUGCCCCGCCUGGGGAGUACGGCCGCAAGGCUAAAACUCAAAGGAAUUGACGGG
rnacentral:rRNA from 1 species